UACAGAGGGUGCGAGCGUUAAUCGGAAUUACUGGGCGUAAAGCGCACGUAGGCGGCUUGGUAUGUCGGGUGUGAAAUCCCCGGGCUCAACCUGGGAACUGCAUCCGAAACUGCCUUGCUAGAGUAUGGGAGAGGGAAGUGGAAUUUCCGGUGUAACGGUGAAAUGCGUAGAUAUCGGAAGGAACAUCAGUGGCGAAAGCGACUUCCUGGACCAGAACUGACGAUCAGGCACGAAAGCGUGGGGAGCAAACAGG
rnacentral:rRNA from 1 species